CCCUUAGAUGUUCUGGGCCGCACGCGUGCUACACUGAGUGGAUCAGCGGGUCAGGUUGCGCGAAAGUGUUUCCUAAUCUUGAAAUCCGCUCGUGAUGGGGAUUGACGGUUGCAAUUUUCCGUCAUGAACGAGGAAUACCUUGUAAGCGCGGGUCAUCAUCCCGCGCUGAAUACGUCCCUGCCCUUUGUACACACCGCCCGUCGCUCCUACCGAUUGAGUGGUCCGGUGAGGCUUUGGGAUCCGAGCAAAGAGAGCGUUUCGCUCGUUUUGCCCGGAAAACUCAGUCGAACCUUAUCAUUUAGAGGAAGGAGAAGUCGUAACA
rnacentral:rRNA from 1 species